rnacentral:lncRNA from 1 species
CUGAAUUCUGAGCCGUCCGAAGAACUCUCGAUGAAAAUAAGUUAGAGAAGUUCAGAGAAAUACUAAAGUAAUAAUUCCCUCCCAUCUUCUGUGUCAGUAUAAAAAAUGUGCUGAUUAUAUCAAGGAAGAAACACACAUAUUAAUACACAAAACCUUCACUAAUUAGGUGAUCCGUGAAUGCUGCAGUCUUAGUAACUGCUUUAGAGGUAACAUCACGGGAACCUUGAACAUUUCGUAUCUUGUGCUGAUCUGUGUUUGCGAGCUCCUGGGCUCUGCAUGCCAGGGACCUGCUCUUUCUUUGUUUAUCUACUGAAUGCAGGCAGGAAUGCAAAAUGGCUGUGCAGAAAAGCAUGCGGGAUCUGCCCAAGCGGGGCAGCGGCUGAGGGGGCCCUGGAUACCUUCCCCAUCUCUUGCUGCCUCCUGUCCAGAUCGGGGGAGCUGGAGUGAGGCUGGCUGUCAAAUAUCCGAAGGAAAGUGAGCAUCUGUCACCAGGCUGCCACCAACUCGCCUGUGUCCAAAGGCCUCCCUCCCUACUGGUAUCCCUGGGGUGGUUACUGUGUGCUCACUCCUUCCAGACAUCCUUCAGGUAUCAGUGGAUCAUUUCUCUAGUUUAAUGAGAUGAACAGCCUCUUUCCUUGUGGUCUAACUUCUUAUCAAAUGCUAAUUUAGUGGGCAUGUUCAUUGCUUCAUCACUCAGCUCAGGCAAAAAAUUUGCCCACAACCCCUGGUCAAUUUAAAUCACCAAAAUUGUUUUAAUCACUAAAUCAAAACAUUAUUCAAUAUGAUGUUUCAACUUAAACUGAACUUCUCUGAGAGUAUGUGUGUGUGUGCCCGAGUGAAAAAGAAACAUUAGUCUCACUUGCCAAGUAAUGAUUUAAAAAAAAAUUA